AUUGAACGCUGGCGGCAGGCUUAACACAUGCAAGUCGAGCGGAGUGAUGGUGCUUGCACUAUCACUUAGCGGCGGACGGGUGAGUAAUGCUUAGGAAUCUGCCUAUUAGUGGGGGACAACAUUCCGAAAGGAAUGCUAAUAACGCAUACGCCCUACGGGGGAAAGCAGGGGAUCUUCGGACCUUGCGCUAAUAGAUGAGCCUAAGUCGGAUUAGCUAGUUGGUGGGGUAAAGGCCUACCAAGGCGACGAUCUGUAGCGGGUCUGAGAGGAUGAUCCGCCACACUGGGACUGAGACACGGCCCAGACUCCUACGGGAGGCAGUAGUGGGGAAUAUUGGACAAUGGGCGGAAGCCUGAUCCAGCCAGGCCGCGUGUGUGGAGAAGGCCUUUUGGUUGUAAAGCACUUUAAGCGAGGAGGAGGCUACCUGGAUUAAUACUCUAGGAUAGUGGACGUUACUCGCAGAAUAAGCACCGGCUAACUCUGUGCCAGCAGCCGCCGCGGUAA
rnacentral:rRNA from 1 species